GGAAGGAGCAGCGGCCCCGGCGGGGCGGAGCGGGGCCGUACCACCGGCGGGGGAGCGCCGCGCCAGCUCCAGCCCCGCAGCCCCGGCGGUGGGCGGUGCAGGUGGAGCUGCGGGUGGGGACUGAGCCCUUGGCAGCUCCACACGCUGCAGCCGCCAUGGAGCUGCUCCCGGUGCUGCUGGCUGCUGCUCUGCUACCGCUCCUGCCCCCUGGCAGGGCAGCUGUGCCGCUGCCUACCCUGACGCGGCCGCUGAGCAUGGUACUGGCUGGGCAGCGCCGGCAGCUGGUGGUGUGUGUGGUGAGCGACCUGGCCCCCAGCUCUGGCCACGGUGUCUGGAUCUCCGGUGGGAAUGGUAGCGUCCUGCAGUCCUUUGCCUAUGGGGCCUCCCAGGAGGAUGGUGGCACCGUCUGCUCCGUCUCCCUCCUUUCCAGUGACAGUGACCCCCCACGCGAGAGGGAACUUGCCUGCCAUGUGGGGGCCAACAGGACCUCCCCAUCCCACAGCUCCAGCCCCAUCCGCAUCACGGGCAAUGAGGAGGCAGCAGAGCUGUGUAGCACAGCUGGUGAGUCUCUGGCCCCUGCCUGGUGGGAACAUCAGGUGCCAGGGUGAAAGCCCUGGCAGUGGCUAUGUGGUGGUUGGGAUGGGCUUUUCCACAGUGUAGUGGGACUGGGGAAGAGGAAGGGAAGCUUCACCUUGCUGGG
rnacentral:lncRNA from 13 species